AUUGAACGCUGGCGGCAUGCCUUACACAUGCAAGUCGAACGGCAGCACGGGAGCAAUCCUGGUGGCGAGUGGCGAACGGGUGAGUAAUAUAUCGGAACGUGCCCAGUCGUGGGGAUAACGUAGCGAAAGCUACGCUAAUACCGCAUACGAUCUAUGGAUGAAAGCGGGGGAUCGCAAGACCUCGCGCGAUUGGAGCGGCCGAUAUCAGAUUAGGUAGUUGGUGAGGUAAAGGCUCACCAAGCCGACGAUCUGUAGCUGGUCUGAGAGGAUGAUCAGCCACACUGGGACUGAGACACGGCCCAGACUCCUACGGGAGGCAGCAGUGGGGAAUAUUGGACAAUGGGCGAAAGCCUGAUCCAGCAAUGCCGCGUGAGUGAUGAAGGCC
rnacentral:rRNA from 1 species